rnacentral:snRNA from 1 species
AUCAUUUCUUGGCCUUUGAGUCUUUUGUAGUAUCUGUUCUUAUCAGUUUAGUAUCUGAUACGUCUUCUAUUGGAGGACAAAAAAAAAAAAAAAGAAAGAAAAGAAAAAAGACUCUAGACAAACCCCCA